rnacentral:precursor_RNA from 11 species
UAAUCUCAACAAUAAAUGUCUCUGGGUUACUGUGGGUUUUCCAGUCUGUAUGGCCAUGUUCCAGAAGCAUACAGCCUGGAAAACUUGCAGCAACCCAGUGGUUCCGGCCACGAAAGCCUUU